UGUGCGUGCGUGCGUGUGUGCGUGCGCCUGUGUGUGGCUGUGUCUGUAUGUGUGUGUCUGAGCGUGUGGUGAAUCAUUUCAAUGGUUCGAGGAAAAGAGUUUUCAAUGCAUGAACAAGGCUGAACGGCACAGAGUCUGAAGUUCUCUUCUUCGCAGAAGGCAACGCACAAGGCGCUGUCGUCCACAGCGUGUGUGACCGGGGGAUGUCAUCCCCCCUGUGUGAUAGCAUGGGGUGGGUUGGUCUCACACACCUGUUCGUUUUGGCCAUCACCCCUGCUCUGACCGAGGGAUGCUGCCGUGAUAAACAGCCUCAGCGGACCUCAGAAAGUGUUAGACACCCACCCAGACAUCACUACAGAGUGGUCCUUGGGGAGCCCUUCGAGCUGAAGUGCGUGGCGGCCGUGUCCCCUGGGAGCGAUGUGCGGUGGUCCAGGUUUGGGGCAGGGUCUGGAGUGGAGGACCCAGUGCCGGUCAGCACAGAGAACCUUCUGAAGAUCCUGACCAGGGUUACCAGGGUUCUGACCAGUUGUUGAGAACAUGAGGGUUCCUUCUGUUGGUCUAAU
ensembl:lncRNA